rnacentral:tRNA from 3 species
GCGCCCUUAGCUCAGCAGGAUAGAGCAACAGCCUUCUAAGCUGUGGGUCAGAGGUUCGAUUCCUCUAGGGCGCA